GAUGAAGAACGUAGCGAAAUGCGAUACGUAAUGUGAAUUGCAGAAUUCAGUGAAUCAUCGAGUCUUUGAACGCACAUUGCGCCCUCUGGUAUUCCGGAGGGCAUGCCUGUCCGAGCGUCAUUGCUGCCCUCAAGCACGGCUUGUGUGUUGGGCCCCGUCCUCCUUCCGGGGGACGGGUCCGAAAGGCAGCGGCGGCACCGCGUCCGGUCCUCAAGCGUAUGGGGCUUUGUCACUCGCUUUGUAGGCCUGGCCGGCGCUUGCCGAUCAACCAAACUUUUUAUCAGGUUGACCUCGGAUCAGGUAGGGAUACCCGCUGAACUUAAGCAUAUCAUAAGCGGAGGA
rnacentral:misc_RNA from 1 species